rnacentral:rRNA from 1 species
GAUGAACGCUGGCGGCGUGCCUAAUACAUGCAAGUCGAGCGAACAGAUGAGGAGCUUGCUCCUCUGACGUUAGCGGCGGACGGGUGAGUAACACGUGGAUAACCUACCUAUAAGACUGGGAUAACUUCGGGAAACCGGAGCUAAUACCGGAUAAUAUAUUGAACCGCAUGGUUCAAUAGUGAAAGACGGUUUUGCUGUCACUUAUAGAUGGAUCCGCGCCGCAUUAGCUAGUUGGUAAGGUAACGGCUUACCAAGGCAACGAUGCGUAGCCGACCUGAGAGGGUGGUCGGCCACACGGGAACAGAGACACGGCCCAGACUCCGACGGUAGGCAGCAGUAGGGAAUCUUCCGCAAUGGGGGAAAGCCUGACGGAGCAACGCCGCGUGAGUGAUGAAGGUCUUCGGAUCGUAAAGCUCUGUUAUUAGGGAAGAACAAAUGUGUAAGUACCUAUGCACGUCUUGACGGUACCGAAACAGAAAGCCACGGCUAACUACGUG